rnacentral:lncRNA from 1 species
UAAAGAACAUAUUGAAGAUUUUCGGUUUAUCAUAUACAUACAAAGUUUACCUUUUUAUAUUUUUAUCUAUUUUUUCUUCCCCGAUCCAAGAGAGAUCCAAAUAUUAUUGGGAAAUCUCACAUUUGUCAGGUGAUCUCUCUUCAUUUAUUUACUUGAAUGUCAUUUAUUGUUAUUUAUUAUUCUUUUUCUUAUUUCUAAGUCAUUCUUUACUCCAUUACUGAUAGUAUUAUUUAUUGCUACCGAUCAUUGAUGCUUGACAUAUUUUUCAGAAAUAUAUUUGUAUCAUUUGAAUAUUAUAUUGACUAAUAUUGAUUUUUUUUUACUAUAAAUAUAACUGUAUAAUUUAGAUCGAAAUUUUGAGUCAUAUAGUUAGAUCAAAGGGGGGAAAUGUCUGUCGUACAUUCUUAAGAAACAUCAGAAAAUUUUGCAAAGAAUAUUCAAGAUUUAAUAUAUAUAUAUAUUGAUAUGAGUGAUUUGUGAGGUAUCACGAGAGGCUGGUACAGUUUCUGAGAUAUUGCCCGAGGGGCAAACUUUGACGUGCUCAUUUUGCAUACUUACUUGUCUUUCACUUAUUAUAUUGUGGUACUUGUGCCUGAGGGGCAGAUUUUCUAUGUGUACCGGCACUAACUGUUUUUGAAAUUAUUUUGUAACUGUUGAAAAGACCAUUUUCAAAAGAAGUUCAAACUAAGCUAAGAGAAUUUCUAAAGAUUUCACAGUUUUUACUAUUUUCUCAAAGGAUUGUACACUGCUUCUAUGCACAUGUUGGUUGCUUUACGUAAUUUCUUCUGCUCAGUUAUUAUUUACCUUUAUUACUCACUAAGUUGGAGUACUCACUUUACUUCAUGCACCUCGUGUGCAGAUGCAGGUAUGUAUUUACCCGGUAGCGGGUAUUGGCUGUUUGGAGGCAGAGGUGUAGGAGUUUAGCAGAUCCCUUCUNNNNNNNNNNNNNNNNNNNNNNNNNUAUAUAUAUAUAUAUAUAUAUAUAUAUAUAUAAAACUAACUUUUGAAUUGAAUACAUGAUAUAAAGUUUUGUUUUAAAUGUUCAAUUGGAUAUCCUUCAUUCAAUGUGGCUAGGCUACAACUUACCGAUAUUUAAUUUUGAAGUACUCAUAAUGUGAUUUUUUUUAUAUAUUAAGAAUUACAAAAUAAUGUAUUUGAUUGGUAAUGUAAAAAAGGGAACAUAAUUAUAACUUUAUAGACUAUAUAUAUUAUAGGUGUCGAACGGGUUGGGUUGAUCCGGGACCGGCCCGGCUCGAUACUUAGGGGGCCGAGUAGGCUAGGUUACUGAGAUUAGGGGGUUGGUCCAUUCACUUUAAUUCCUCCGGUUAACCGGAUCGGUCAACCAAAAUUCAUGUAGAACCGUUUAACCGGCUCGGCCCAGGCCGAUUUAAAGGCUAGAUUUUUUUUUUAAAGCUUUGAGGGUCUAAGGCAGCAAAACCUUUGAAUUAACUUUUUUCGUUAAUUUACUUGUUAAAUGUAAACCUUUCAAUUUGUAAGUUUGAAUUUUGAAAUAAAUGUAACACUUGUAAUUUAUAAGUACAAUUUUUUCCCAUCUUCAUUGUAUUCUUUAUCUUAAUAUAACUUAAAUAGUCAAUUUAAAGUGCAAUUUUUUUCCCGUCGUCAUUGUAUUCUUUUUAUUUUUACUUUAUACUAAUAUAGAUUACAAUUGUUAUAUAAAAUACAAAUAAUAAUAAUAAUAAUAAUAUACUAACCCGGCCAGGUCCGACCCCUUGUACCCGUAACCUUUACGAUUUAUUUUUUACCCGGAUGAACCCGAACCCGUUAGCCCGUUAACCUCUAGCCCGUAACUGGUCCGGUUCGAAAUCCGGAUAAUUUCAACUUUUCCUUACCUAGCCCAGUCCGGCCCACCCAUUAGACACCCUUAAUAUAUAUUGUGAAAUUUUUUAUUUUGUCAAUCCAUAAAUCCUUAUUACAUAGAUACUAUGCUAGAAUUGUUAUCCGAUAAACUACUUCGUCACCAAAUAAAAGUUAUCGUAUAGCGGAGUUAUAUUUAAUGAGGUAAAAAACAAUUUAUCAAAUUAUUCAUGAAUUUUUCAGUAAUAAAUCGUAAGUUCAAUUACCAUAACUAGUAAACUUUAUUGAGGCUAACGUGGUAUAGUGAUCCAUUUAAUAUUUUUUUAUUUAUCAAUAUUGCAUGCUUAUUAAGACUUCAGGUGAAUUCUGAGGAACAUUGUUAGAGUUCAAUGAUUCUAUACUUGGCGCGCAACUUUUGGAAAAGCUGAAAGAUUCUUCUCUAGUGAUACCAAAUUUGAUAAGAAAUUCAAGUUUGUUUUCACUUAAUAAAAAACAUUAAUUUGAUAAGGUUUUUUCGCAUACAAACGGGGGACAUGACCUGAGGCUUGCGUAUUUAGCUGUAUAAAAGUAAGAAUUAACAAAGUAUGACGGUAAAUUUGAAGCAAAUGCGGCUUAGUAAAAAUAAUGCUCUAAAGCCAGAUUCCAAUAAGUAAAUUUUAAUUUUAAUAAAAUUUAGCUGAAUUUAGAGGGGCGGAAUGGAUUCAUCUUAACCCUUUCACCGAAAAAUCAUACUGUAUAUAUGAAGUAUAAUUUUUUAUUUUUUAUUUUUAUAUAUUAUAUUUAAACAUUUUUGAUAGAACCUAAAAGCAUAGGUUAGUGGUCAAGAAAAUUUAAUACAUUUGUGGUCACUUGUUUAAUUUUCACUAACCAUAAUUUUUUUUAAUUUUUAUCUUUUUUCUUUCUUGAUUUUCCUUAUAAAAAUCCUGCCUCCGCCAUUAAUCAUCAUCAUACUAUAUUAAAAGUUGAAAUUGAGUUACUAAAUCAUUAUCCAUCAAAAGCUAAAAGGCCAUUUGAUCGUUCCUUUAAAUACUACUCUUAUACAAGUUUUGUAUCAAAAACUAAAUAUCCAUUUCAAUAAAUGAUAAUAUCUACUAUAAAAGUAAAUUAAACUAUUUGCCGUGGAGGUCAAUUAUAUCUUCUUAUAUCUAAAAAGAUGGGGUUUCCCUUUUUCGUACUUAUUUGUUUACUAUUGUGGCUUAGUUAUUAUUCUUGUAUUUCUUACCCUUAGAUUUCUAUUAUUAAAUGUUGUUUCUCUUAUUUUAUUGCUGAUACUGCUUCUCUUUCAUGGUAUUUUUCGCUAUUGUAUUCUUUAAAGCUAUUAUGAUGGUUGUUUAGCUCAAAAGUUAUUGAUAUAUUUUGUAAGCUUUAGAAAAUAAUUAAAAAAUAAAUAAGGGUAAAUCGUAAUCAAAUAUAAUCUGACCUAAAAAUUAGAUACUGGAUAUUUGCCGUUCUAGAUCUCAAAGAAAGAGAAAAUAAACUUAACUUAAGAGAGAAGCAAUAGUUGGAGACAGAGAAAGAGAUAGAGAUAGAGAGAGAAGUUGUAUUAUUCGAUUGUAAUAAUAAUGAUGCAUGUUACAAUGUAGAGGUCUCCUUUAUAUAUAUGAGACCUCCCUCAAAAUAAUCAAAAAAGUACAAAAGUUGGUGGCUUCACUUAGUAAAGAAUUUAAGCUCUAAACGACGUUGCUUUUGCCAGGUCGCUCCCUUACUUGGGUCGAGUCUGCUUAUUGGGUGUACCCAUUAAUCAUGGGGCAUUGACGGCCAAAUUUGACCUCAUACAGUUAGUCCCUCCGUUCGUUGGAAACGUGCUCGAUGGACGCCUUCAAUAGACGGAUUCACAAGGCCCUUCCUAAGAGAAUUUGGUCGUAUCAUUGGUCUUUAACACGAAGUAAUGAAACAAAAACGCACGACACAGUUGAACCGUUGACGCAUGGUCUCUUUUUGGAAUGACAUCAUUAGUCGCAUGCGUCAUUAUUACUUUUUUCCCGAGGUAGCUCAGUUGGUGAUGUGAGUUUCUGGUUUCCCGCGCCUGUUCUGACCGUACCUUUUCGAUUUCCGCAUAAAUUUAUCCCAUAAAUAGGAGAAAAGUUCAAAUUGAUUCAUCUUUCGAACCUUUGAGAAUACUUUCUUAUUCCCUUUUCUGUCUUACUUUCUUGUACUCAACAUCUCGUGUGAGAUCUUUCUUGUCUCUAUGUGACUUUAUUAUACGUUACCAAUAUUUAAAAAUUGGUUCCUAUGGCGAAACGCCAAAGCAGUAAGAAAAGCAAGGGUACCACCCAAUCUAGGGUUUCGUACUCAAUGUCUCGUUUGAGAUCUUUCCUAUUUCUGUAUGGUUGUAUUAUCCGUUACCAGUAUCUAAAAACUGGUUCCUAUGGCAAAACGCCAAAGUAGUAAGAAAAGCAAGGGUACCGCCCCAUCUAGGGUUCCGCCUUCCUCCGGUGGUGAAGAGGAAGGCCCGGGUUCUGCACAUUCUAUGAAUACCCGCUUCGAAUUGGAUACAGCCUCCCGUUUAACCCUUUAGCGGAGGACCUCUGCCGCUUCUUCAGAGCAUGCCCGGCUCAGCUCACGCCUUAUACUUUGAAGGUGUGUAGAACUCUCACCACGUAUGCGGCCAAAUCCGAGAGCUUGGUUUUGGUUCACCAUCUUUUGCAGAUGUUUAAUGCAAGCUUCUUGAGGGGUAUCUAACUCUAUUUGAAGCGUCGUGGUACAAAGAGUUUCAUAUUGAAGUCCGAUGAUUAAUCCAAUCAUGGCUUAUGGAAAAGAUACUUCUACAUUAGGACGGAGCAGAGGUUAUCUAAUCCUGAAGGGUUCCCAGAGGCGUGGAACUCGGAAUGUAAGUACCAUUGUGUGUGAUUUCAUGAUUAUUUUUCCCCAGAUGGUUCAGCCAUUGUGAAUUCUUUGUCUUUGUUUUGUAGUGGCGGCUCGCUCGCCCCGAACUAUUGGUGACAUCAGGUCCUGGGUGUAGAGAUUGAUACCGUAUGCGGAGGAGUGCCAGACCUGGGCCGAGUUCCAUAAACUGUACGGCCCAGCAGGCAAUAAUAAUCUUUGGCUUUGGCUUGAAGUUUCCUUUAGUUCUUGUUAUCUAACAUUCUCGCACUGGUAGGUCGGAAUGUUUCUAAAUAGAAGAAGAAGAUCGUCGAUGUCCCGUCUAGAUGGAGGUCGAUUCCGAUGACGAGGUCGUAUCACGCGACUCACCUAGUGAUAGCGCUCCUUUGAGUUCUCAGCAAGGGGCUGCACAGGUGGUGGCAUCUGAGUCGGCACCUGAAGCUAUGCAAGUGAUGACAUCUGAGGUCGUGCCCGAGGUCGUGCCAGUAACGACACAUGAGGCCGUGCUUGUGAUGGUGCCUGAGGCCACUCCAGUGGAGGCGACUUCUGAAGGCGAAGAGCUGCCGGAGACAAAGGGGCAUCGAUUGAUUACCGGCAAGGGAAUUGCGACUGAGGACGUGAGGCCUACUGAUCCCGCCGAGAGCCGAGGCCCUCGUACAGGAAUAUUAACCCCUCGGAGACUAACCGUUGUUGUUAGCUCAGCUCAUUCCCAGAAGGCGGGUCGUCCUCUGUAGUUGGGUGUGCGGGGGUAGAAAUUGAGAGGACGGGCUCGGAGGCCGCUCUUGGAGAAGCAACAAGGUAUUCAGCCCGCAUGGAGAUGAGGUCGAGCAGGUCUACUAGUCGAAUUAUGAUCCCUGGCGGGUAUAACUUGUUAGAAAACAACGAGCAAGCCGCAGCGAACAUGACCUUGUUAUGUGCGGCUGCGGAGCAUGAGACGCUAAAAGGUGUUAGUAACAGGGAUUUGUCGAGGAGAGUUGCCGGUGUAGCUUUGCAGGUAGCUUUCAGUUUUUCUUUUAUGAGCCGUAAAGGAGACUUUGGUACAUACAGACUUGUAUUUCCUCUAUUCUUUUCAGACCCUAAUCUUGGAGGUGGAGAGGAGGAGGCAUGAAGAAAGAAAGGCGGUCACCUUCAAUAAAAUGGCGAAGAAGUACAAGGAGUGUCGUGCCAAGCAUCAGGCAUUGGCAAAUGUACUCAAGCAAGACCCUUAGUUUCGGGUGUUCUGUGAGGGUCUUGAAGAAUCGAAAGCUCUAUUGAAGAGGAGGGUGGCCGGGCUGGACGAGCAGUUGAUGGCUACUUUGUCUCGAAACAUCGAGCUGGAGACUCUCCUUCAGUAAAAAGAGGAGGAACUGGAGAUAAGCCGUGGGGUAGCGGCGGAGGCGGCUCAGUUGCGAGCCUAAGUCAUUGCUUUAACUACUGAGCUCGGCGCUAAGGUGGCUGAAGUUGAGACCCAUGAGCGGUCUUCCUAAUCAAAGCUCGAAAAGGGCGCACAUCGUGAGACGCGCGAAAUGUGGACGUAUGCCGAGGCUAGACUAGUCGUGCUCGAGGAAUUUUUCUCUGCAGGUCGAGCCACUAAGGCGGAGGUUGAGAAGCAAAAGCGUUUAGCCCGCGCCGCCCGCGCCGCUUGUGGUUAUAAUUCUGAUUUACCCGAUAUGCUGUAACUCUGAAUACGUCAAUCGUCUAGAGUCCGACUCUUGGAUUUCUAGAGCUUACCCUCCUGGGGGCGAUGACGAACCAAAUGGCAGGCAAACAGGGCAUGGUGGACGAAGCGGCAAUGGCUCUUAGGGCUUGUGUAUAUAUGUAUAUUUCUUGUAUGUAACCGAGGCCCUUUUCAGGGUCGGAUGUACAUGUAUAUUUUCUGGAGAUAAUGGAGUAUAAUUUUCUGCUACUUUUUCCUUUGCUUUCUUGUUUUCUUUUUUGUGUCUCGUCUCUGUAGAGCGGACACUCGUUUACUUGUUGGGAUUUUAUUGUGUUUUUGCUUCACGUUCACAUGAUUAAUGCUGCAAUUGAACUAGUCCUAAGCCGUGAUAAAGUCGAUGGCCUUGGCCAGAGUUAAGUUGAUGACUUUUUGUCAUAACUUGUUGAUGGCCUUAGCCAUAUGAUGAUUUCGACUGUAGUCGAAUAAUUUUCUUGCCGUAGUCGAACUAGAUCGAUUGUUGGCGAUGAUGGCCUUAGCCAUGAUGAAGUCGAUGGCCUUGGCCAGAGUUAAGUUGAUGACCUUUGGUCAUGACUUGUUGAUGUCCAUGGCCAUAUGGUUGAUUUCGACUGUCGUCGAAUCAUUUUCUAGCCGUAGUCGAACUAGGUCGACUGUUGGCGGUGAGGGUCUUAGCCAGGAUGAAGUCGAUGGCCUUGGCCAGGGUAAAGUAGAUAACCUUUGGUCCCAACUUGCCGAUGGAUUUGGCCAUAUGGUUUAUUUCGACUAUCGUCGAAUCAUUUGCUUGUCGUAGUUGAACUAGGUCUACUGUUGGCGGCAAUGGCCUUAGCCAUGAUGAAGUCGAUGGCCUUGGACUGAGUUAAGUUGGUAACCUUUGGUCAUGACUUGUUGAUAGCCUUGGCCAGAUGGUUGAUUUCGAUUCUCGUCGAAUCAUUUGCUAGCCGUGGUCGAACUAGGUCAACUAUUGGCGGCAAUGGCCUUAGCCAUGAUGAAGUCUAUGGCCUUGGCCAGAGUAAAGUUGAUGACCUUUGGUUACAACUUGUUGAUGGCUUUGUCCAUAUGGUUGAUUUCGACUGUCGUCGAAUUAUUUUCUUGUCAUAGUCGAACUAGGUUGACUGUUGGCGGCAAUGGCCUUAGCCAUGAUGAAUUCGAUGGCCUUGGCCAUGAUGAAGUUUAUGACCUUUGGUCAGAACUUGUUGAUGGCUUUGGCCAUAUGGUUGAUUUCGACUGUCGUCGAAUCAUUUGCUUGCCGUAGUCGAACUAGGUCAACUGUUGGCAGAGAUGGCCUUAGCCACGAUGAAUUCGAUGGCCGUAGCCAUUUAUACAUUGGAGAUAGCCGUACCCGUUUAUACAUUAGAGAUGGUCGUAGCCGCUCAUACAUUGGAGAUGGUUGUAGCCGUUCAUACAUUGGAGAUGAACGUAGCCAUUCAUAUAUUGGAGAUGGCCGUGGCCAUUCAUAUAUUGGAGAUGGUCGUAGCCGUUUAUACAUUGGAGAUAGCCGUAGCCGUUUAUACAUUAGAGAUCAUGCUAGUCCUGUCCCUUUAUCAUGUCGGCCUGGAGAAUGUAUGGACAGGUUGAUAUGAUAAACUUGUUCCACAAAUAUCUCCAGGUGUCCCCUCGGCCGCCUCGUUAAAAACCUCAUCGAGAAAACCCAAUUAGGACAAAACUCGAGUAUGGGAAAAAGAGUACGACUCGGAAGACGCCUUUCACAAAUGGAAAUAUUUGAGGUGGGCGACAUUCCAAUUAUUUUGUAGUGUUUUCCCUUCCAUUGUUCCCAACUGGAAUGCUCCUUUGUUGGCUGCUGAUAUGAUUUUGUAGGGUCCGUCCCAAUUACUGCCCAAUUUUCCUUUGCUUGGGUCUUUGGACACCAAUGUCUUGGCUUUGAGGACAUAGUCUCCCACUUUGAGUGGUCUUAUCUUGGACCUCUUGUUGUAGUAUCUUCGACCUGUUAUUUUUGGGCCACCAUUCUGAUUUGGGUCAUCUCUCUCCUUUCCUCCGCUUCGUCGAGGUCUUGGAUCAUGUUCAUGUCAUUUUCUGUUCCGCUGGUGGUAGGAGUACCUCAAGCUUGGUUCUACCUAUUGUUAUUGGGCCACCAUUUUGAUGUGGUCCAUUUCUCUCCUUUCCUCAGCUUCGUCGAGGUCUUGAUCCUGUUCAUGUCAUUUUCUAUUCCCCUGGUGUGUGAGUACCUCAAGCUUGGUUCACCGACUUCGGCUGGUAUGACCGCGUCGGUUUUGUAGACCAGUUAGUACGGUGUUUCCGUUAUGCUGGAUUUGGGUGUGGUCUGAUGGGCCCAUAAUACUUCUGGCAGUAGCUCGGGCCAUUGCCCUUUGGCUUCCUCAAGUUUCCUUUUUAGUAUAUUUAAUAUUGUCCUGAUUGGAGGAUUCUUCCUGGCCAUUGGCGGCGGGAUGGUAUGGCAUUGAGAGUAUUCGCUUGAUAUGCCACUUUUCGAAGAAAACUGUCAUUUUUUGACCGACGAAUUAUCGUCUGUUGUCACAGCUGAUUUCCUUGGGGAUGCCGAAGCGGCACAUGAUAUUUUUCCAUAUAAGGGUGAUGACCUCCUGUUCGCGUAUUUGGGCGUACGUACCUGCUUCCACCCACUUGGAGAAAUAAUCAGUUAAAACUAGUAGAAAUCGUACCUUUCCUCGCCCCGCGGGGAGGGGCCCGACUAUGUCCAUUCCCCAUUUGAUGAAUGGCCAUGGGGAUGUGACCGAGUGGAGAGAUUCUCCUAGUUAGUGUAUCAUGGGUGCAUAUUUUUGGAACUGUUCGCACCAGCGAACGUAUUCCGCUGCUUCCUUCUUCAUGGUAGGCUAGUAAUAGCCAGCCCGUAUGAGCCAUCGCACUGUUGAUACCCAAUUUUUCCCUAUGUGUUUUUGUACCCAAAAUAGCUUGUGAAUGCAUAUAUAAGCAUCCACAAAAGGUUUGGUAUUUUUUUACAAUUUUUUCAAGCAUUUUCAAACCAAUUUACAACUUAUUUUGUGAUAUGAAAUCCAAUAUUUAACCUCAACUCUUGUUAUUUAAUAAAUACUUUAUUUUAAUUCCUCAUUUACAUAAAAAAUAUAAUUUAUGUAAUUUUUACAGGAUUUUGUAAAGCCAUUAGAAAUUUUAAAACUAAAAUUGCAUUAAAUUGUAAUUUUAGCCUAUUUCUCAAUUUGAUAAGUAUUUCAUGUGCAAAAUCAUUCCUGAUAUUUUUAAAUAAUUCCUAAACGUAUUUUAUUAUCUCACCAAUUUUAUUGGAUUUUUAUAAAAAUGUUUACUAUUUUUUAUAAAAUUAAAUUAGGGAAAAUGGUUAUUUAAAUGAUAGCGCCUUUACUUUUCAAUUUUAACCCCAAUUCAAACCCAAUCCAGCCCAAUUUAAAACCCAAUUUGCCUGACACAAAUUCAAGUACACCCGACCCAAACCCGCUGAACUUAACCCACCUGUUCCCCCUAUCUAAUCCGGGUCGUUGAUCUCAUAGAUCAACGGCCCAAAAUUGACUUGCCUAAUUAAAUCCCCAAAACCCCCUUAGCUCUAAUCAUUCACUCAAGUCCGCCUUUCACUCCCAAAUUCUCUCUAGGUUCUCUAAAAACCCUAGUCGCCUCACGCCUCUUCGCCGGCGUUAAUGGCCGUUCAAGGCUUGAAACUGCCAUGCUCAUCCACUCAUCACCUGUCAUGGCCUUCGGUUCGAAGAUCGGGAUAUUAUCACGGGUGUGACUGAAGAGGUCCUUAAUGGAGUUUCACAACUGUGUCAGGCCUUUCUCCGGCAAGUCUUUGAAGCCUUGGGUCCUUGCCAAGCUCCGAUGAGCCCGUUCAGGCUUUUCUCGCCGUUUUGAGGCCUUUCUAUGAAAACCCUAAUGAUUCGAGGUUCCUUUUUCAUUUUUUCUGUGUUUAUAUUGCAAUCUUCUUUAAGCUCUAGUUAUUUUCUACAAGUUUAAGUGUUUCUCAUCUCUUUCUUCACCUAGUCGUGUUUUCAAAAACUGUUCGUCUCUUCCAAAACCUAGGGUUUCUAUGACCUAACUGAUUCUUUGAAUUUUUUUUUUUUUUGCUACUGUGUGUUCUUCUCCAUGAUUUUGACAUUUUUCUACUACGAUUCUCAAGUAUCUGGCUUGACUGUAUAUUUCUAGGGUUUUCAGUCCAUGUGCUUAUGUUUCUCUUUAUGAUGUUCUGCUCUUAUUCACCUGUGCUCCGAUAUGCAGUGGAAACCCUAACCUAGAAGGGUUUCUUUCUAUAUUUCUAUGUGUAACCCUAGCCGCCUAAUUGCUUUCUUGUGUGUGUUUUGCUGCAUGUUUACUUUACUAUUUUUAGUCUCCCGUAUGUUCAAAACUUGUGCAUCUUUUAUAGUACUGUUUUUCCCCCUUUCCCUGGCACUCUAAAUUGAUUUUUUGUACAACUGUUAGAUUCUCUAAUUGCUCCUUGUUUCUUGACUAAGUUCAAACGAGUAGAAUUUUGACUCCUUGAUUUCCUGGGUGAUUACUUGCCUUACAUGUUCAACCGUGUGAUUUUCAAAAUNNNNNNNNNNNNNNNNNNNNNNNNNNNNNNNNNNNNNNNNNNNNNNNNNNNNNNNGUGAUUUUCAAAAUUUCUUAUAUGUAUUUACCCUAUAUUCUGUGAUUAAUACUAUAUUUUCUUUCCAAAUUUAAACCUAGGUUUAUUUAUUUUUCCAUCCAGUUCCUUAAUUGAAGGGGUUCCCUUCUCCUUAAUUGAUAUUGAUUGAUUGGGGAAUAUUUCCCCUUGCCUAUUGCUGCAUCUUUUCAAAACUAUAAAUAGGCUCUCUCUUUUUCACACAGCACACACUCAUACAGGAGUUCUCUCUACUCUUACUCACUAAAAUUCUCUGCUCUUCUCUUCUCUAUUAUUUGCUCUCUCCGCUAAAAGUUAGCCGGCUGAAGCCAAGGCUAAUUAUAAGAUUUCUCUUUGCUUUGUUACUCAAAGUGUGCAACUGGUAGGUCCUAAUUUCGAUUACCAACUUUCAACCACCUGUUUACUUUCACUCUGCUCUUUACCUGUUAUACUUUCGGUUCAAAUUCUGCGUGUCUAAUCCCUUUCCCUAUUCCUUUGCAUGUUAUGUUAAUUGUGAGCACGCGAUUUUUUCCCUAAGCAAACUAUUCCCAAAAAUUAAACAAAACGAUUUUUUUCUUUAUAUUUACAAGUUUUGUGUCCUUGUUUGAUAAUUAUUGCAUUUUAUUUGUGCAUGUGAAUUCAUACAAAAUACAAAAAAUACGCAUUUGCAUUUAGGAAUUAAGGUCAUAUUUUAGUAUUAAUUAGAAGUUAAUUUGUUUUAGCAUAAAACAUGAAAAAUCAAAAAUUAGUUCAUUUUGCAUUUUAAUCAUUUUUAUUUAUAAAUUGUCACAAAUUAAUUUUUUUUGUAAUAAUUAUAGGAAUUAUGUAGUUAGUUUACAUAUAUUAGAGUCUAGUUUAGUUGCAAUUUUAUAAAAUUAGAAAUUAAUAUAAUUAAAUAAAAAAAAGAGAUGGAUAAAAGAAAUAAUUGAAAAGAAUGCAAAAAAGGAAUAAAGCUGUUAGUUUUUAGGCCGUUGUAAAUUAAUUGAGCCUAAUUUAAUUGAUCCCAACCCGUCAAACCCGGCCCCAGUAGCCCAAGAACCGGUCCAAUUAGGUGCCUUAGUAAACGACGUCGUUCCCAGUCUUUCAAUCCUGGCCGUUUAUCUUGAUCCAUCCAACGACCAGGAACUUCCCCCUCUUUGACAUUAAUAUGUCCGAAAAUAAUGAGAGAGCAUUCAGUUCCAAAUACUCCUUCAUCUCCGUUUCUCUCUCAAGAAAAGGUCAACCCUAGUUCGCCAUUUCCGGCCAACGAGAAGGCUCCAGCCACCAUCAAAGUUCAACCAAGCCACCGUCGUUCACCCCCAAGUCAAAACCAACCUCUAGUUCUCAUCAAAUCCACACCAAGUCGGGCCAGUUCUAAUCAGAAGUUGAAGGGAAGAAGUCUCUCAGUGCAUUCGACUUCUUAGGAAACGAUUAGGCCUGAAAUUGAUAUUAUUUGUUAGUUUUCAAGAAGAACCUGCGACCAAUAUCAAUCUCGGGUCGAAUCGAAGAUAUCGGAGCUUUUAUUCGAAAGCUGAAUUUAGUAAGUGCUUCUUUCUUUAGUUUUUAAUUUGUUUCAUCGUUUGCUUAGUUCAAUCGAGCAUAAAUUAAAGUUGUGUUCAUCUUUGUGAUUGUUAAAAUCGAUAAGUUAAGUUGUCUUAAGCCAGUUCUUAGUCUUUUGUUUAAAUUAUGGUUUAUUUUCGAUUCGUUGUUAGUUUUGUCUCUCAAUCAUUAAUUAGUCGUUAGCUUAAUUAAUCUUCUCGUUUGUCUCAAUAAGAUACUGAUUUUGACUUUGUUUUGAUUUUGGCUGUUUGUUCUUCUGGAUUGAAUUUGGGUAGUUUGUUUUGUUUGUGAGAUUGGUUAUAGAUGAUUAGAUAACCAUAGUUUAGAUAGACUGGGGUAAUGGCUUGUUGUGGUUAAGGGAGUGUUAGUAAUUGCAAGGCUGUCUAGGGGUGUUUUGGUAAUUGGAGGAAGGGAAUAUUUUCUGUUGUAGAAGAUACGGCUGGAAUGGCAUGUGAGGGUGCAGAUAUUUUGAGGGUAAGGGUAGUUUGGGGUUUGUCUUGUUCAAAGAGUGCCCUAGGAUAUUCUAUAAUAUGGUUUUAAUGUAAAUUUCAGCUAACUUAAGACACUAGAUGGAAUUACAUGUGAGUGUGCAGAUAUUUUGAGGGAAAGGGUAGUUUGGGGUUUGUCUUGUUCAAAGAGUGCCUUAGGAUCUUCUAGAAUAGGGUUUUAGUGUAAAUUUCAGCUAACUUAAGACACUAGCUUGGGUAGUAAGUCAAUGAAUAAAGGGUUUAAAGCAAAAUAGUGAUGGACUAAAGAAAAAAAAAAGUCAAAAAUCUGAUCCUUUAUCCACUAGUGCCUAUAUAUUGGAAUUUUCAUGCUUGGGAAGGGGUCCUUCUGGAGCAUUUUUCCUCAGCCAUCUUAUUAUACAAUUAACUCCUAAAUACUCUCUCUACUUCAGUUAUUUUAAUUUUUGAAUUCCAGAAAACCAAAACAAAAACACAAAAAAAAACUCAAAAACAAAGCAUAAAAAGGAAAAUAUAGUAUGAAGAUCUGAUAAAAUAGCUGAGAAAUGCACUUUUUUCCCAUUAAAAUAGCUACGGGUACUGUUUCAUUGACCAUCAUAUGCUGAUUCUGUCGAAAUUCAAUCUGUCAAGACCAUCUUAGUUUCAAUAAGGGUGAUAAUGGUUUGAAUUUGUUUUUCCUUUUGAAAUCUAGGUUGAGUUUUGAGUCAGGGGGUUGUUUCAUCAGUUUUUAGUUGAUAUUGAGGUUUAUUUGGUUGAAUCUGAAACCUGGUUUGUUGCUGUUGAGUUUAGUGCUAUUGAUUUGCUGCUGGGUAUUUGUUGCUGCAUAGAUUUGUACUCCUGCUCCUUUAACUGCUGUUGAUCACCUUUUUCCACUUUGAAUUCCAUUUUCAGGUACACAACUUGUAACAUUCUGAUGUAGAUCCAAGCUUGAAUACUAAAUACAUGAAUGAUACUUGAAAUUGCAACCUCUGUUCAUUUAAAGUAUUUAGUGAUUUAGUUCGUUUAGAUUUUGUAUGAAUAGACUUGGACUACACUAAGAUUGUUGGAACUUGUUUAGAUUAUCUGAUUGUUGUUUAGUUGAAUCAUGAUACUAUCAUUUUAUUGAAAUUUGACUGUCAAUGGGUUUAGAUUAGUUAGACUGCUUGAAUCAAUUUGGGUAGUGAAAUAAUUCUUAAUAGCCAUGAAAACUGGACUGGAAAUCGAGUUGAAUUUGACGGGUUUUCAUUCAUGAGUUAAUUUAAGUUCGUGAGUGUUUAAAAUUUAGGUUCAAUAAUUGGUUGUUCAAAUCAGUGAUCUAUUGGAAAUUGGUAAUUCCAGUUUUUGUUGGGAAGUCUGUGAGUGUUUAAAAUUUAGGUUCAAUAGGUGGUUGUUCAAAUCAGUGAUCUAUUGUUCUAUUGGAAAUUG